UGGGGAAUCUUCGGCAAUGGGGGGAACCCUGACCGAGCAACGCCGCGUGAGUGAAGAAGGUUUUCGGAUCGUAAAGCUCUGUUGUUAAGGAAGAACGAGUGUGAGAAUGGAAAGUUCAUGCUGUGACGGUACUUAACCAGAAAGGGCCGGCUAACUACGUGCCAGCAGCCGCGGUAAUACGUAGGUCCCGAGCGUUGUCCGGAUUUAUUGGGCGUAAAGCGAGCGCAGGCGGUUAGAUAAGUCUGAAGUUAAAGGCAGUGGCUCAACCAUUGUAGGCUUUGGAAACUGUUUAACUUGAGUGCAGAAGGGGAGAGUGGAAUUCCAUGUGUAGCGGUGAAAUGCGUAGAUAUAUGGAGGAACACCGGUGGCGAAAGCGGCUCUCUGGUCUGUAACUGACGCUGAGGCUCGAAAGCGUGGGGAGCGAACAGG
rnacentral:rRNA from 1 species